AAUCUUGGUGUGGGCAUUAUUUUUGCUCGUGCGUCCAGAAGAGUUUGAGAUGGACUAAAAAUCUAAGUAGUGGAUUUAGUGGGGUGUUUGAUGGAGAGAAAUAAGGGAUUGGGGUGGUUAUCAAAUAUUCUACUCAUUUUUCUUUUUUUUCUUUUUUUCCUUUUUUUACUUUCUCCAUAAUCCCUCCACUCUCUUGUCGUUUUUCUCUUCAUUGCUGCCAAAUUUCUACUCUCUUUCACCCUUCAUCUUCUUGAUUUUUCUUUUCCCACUUGGCCUCGUGUCUCUCCACGUUUGUCUGUGAUCGUUCGGUAAGUUUUAGAUAAGUGAUUUGUCACUAUUUGUUAACUUUCUUCUGAAGUAUUUUUCUUAUGCCAAUUAAGGGAGGAUUCAAGGGCUCGUAAUCACCAAUCGG
rnacentral:lncRNA from 1 species